CACGGAAACACAAACAGCCGAGCGGCGCAAGUUUAAAAAUGUGAAGAAAAAAAAUGGUCGCACCUCGUCUGUGGAUGCAGACAAAGUGCGUGUUGUGUUGUGCGCGGCGCUGUGUGAAGGGAGAUAAUGGAAGGUGGAUGGCGGCGAGGGAGGGGCUGCCGGCGGGAGCGUGGAUGGUUUUCUAUUUUUAGCCCUCGUGUGUGAUACGUGCCGCCGGGCGUUCAGACCUGCAGCACACCGCUUCUGUUCGUCUCCACGAAGCCGCCGACGUCCUUUAUCCUCAAAUAUAGACGAGCGAAGGUAACUGUCGGCCGCCGUAUCUGCUCCCCCCCCCCCCCGCCGCCAGCGGGCCGCGCUGCGGAAAGCCGCUGUAAGACCGGGCGGAUUGGAUGUGACGAUAUUAAAAAAAAGAAAUUAUUAUAUCACAAAGAAAUCAAAUCAGGAUUAUUUCCAUGAAUCACCAUUCAAUCGCUCGUUAAUCCCAAAAUGAUUGAUGGGCUAAGGAAGAAAAGACGCAGCGACCCCCCCAACACACACACACACACACACACACACACACACACGCCGUAAAUGGAUUAAGUGGCAAUCAAUCAAUAACACCGAAUCGUGGAGCGAUACCAGCACUCAUCGCCACGGCAACGGAUGCGGGAGGUUCCUGCAACGCACCGCUGAGGAAAUCAGAUCAACCGCCUCCGAAUUAGCAUUUCUCUCCCUCUCUCUCCGCCUGUUUGUGAGGCUGAGGCGCCGUGGCAACGGUCGCUUAUUGGAUUACGUGGCGUCCUCAUCAAUCCGCCCGCGCUGUCACGGGCCUCCACUCGCCGCUCAUCUGAUCGUAACUCAUAACUGGCCUGAUGAAUUGCACCUCCUCUGACUGGUUCUAACCGUAAUUGCAUCUGUCGCCGGCGGAGACCGACUCUUGUCCCGCUCGUCCCGAGUCUUUCUAGACGGGGGGGCGUCACGCAGACGCCGUCAAACAGAGACGGCUAAAGCUUGACACGCAUGUGACCCUCCGACUAAUGAAACACUUUGACGUUAACCGUCACGCUGUCAAUAACGUUUUCUUCUCAUACAUCCCGUGUGAAAUCGUGAUGAUUGAAAUGCAGCGGGAACGCCAGGGUUGGCAGUUUGAACCCCGGCUGCUCCAUGUCCCAUGUCCAAGUGUCCCUGAGCAAGGACACCCGACCCCCCGCCGGCUCCCCGGGCGCCUUUACUGCACCACGCUGCUCCCACUGUGUGGGGGGUAAAAGGCAGAGAACCAUUUCCUGUAAUGUGUAAAAAUGGCUUCUUCUUCGUUAGCAGCACCGCUAACGCUAACCAACGGAGUGAUGCGCUCAGGAUGGACCUGACUGCAAGAUGAGAACUUUAAGCACAUUGUUACACGGCAUUAAAAAUACACCCUCGAUGAUCAGAAGCUUAUAACCAAAAAAUCAAAGAGCAACGACGACACAAUAGCCUUCAACAACAGCUACUGUCUACGAAGACAAACGUGAGGUUAUGGGUCAAAGGUUACGGGACAACGAGUGAGAAUAAAAGAGAAGCGGAGUGUUGAUAGAUGUAAGACGAAUUCAUCACACAAUGCGGCGAGCGCGCACGCAGCGCAAGGUGAAGCGAGCGGAGCUGCGCAUGGCGUGAACAGCAUAAAGCAAGCGAUGCGUGGUUGCAUACUGCUCAGUUGCCGUGGACACGUGAGGACCAAUCAGCAGCCCGGCCGAGCGGCGGCGCCCUCGACAGCGGCCAUCUGUGAAUUCUUAAAAGCCUUUGGCCGGGUCUUUUCAUCCUCGGUAUCAGUCUGCUCGUCCACUGAGCGUGGCUCUGAAUGCGUUACUGUUUCCCAGCAUGCAUCGUGUGCAGAACACACAGCGAUGACCUCACGGCUGGAGACUGGAGCGCAGAGCCGAGUGCAGGACUGCUGCUCGACGGGACACGGAAAAGACACCCAGAGACUCAGACGUGCACUUUUAUAUCUCUUUCUUUUCUUGAAUCUCUGCACACUAAAAACUGCUGGGUUAUUUCAUCUACCCAAACGCUGAGUUAUGACACGUUCUACCCAUUAUGGGUCAUUUAUAGCGGGGUUGGGUUAUUUUUGUGCAACUCGUGCGCUGAGUCAAAAUUCAUCGAGCCAACAUACAUCGGUUGAUGUAUUGUUUUGAACCACAGAAGUCUGCAAAAACCCCUGCAAAGGCGCGUAGGUAACCCCACACAGCCACCAACGUCUGACCCCACAGUGACACAAGAACACUCCCUUUUUGGAUCAGGAGCUGCCACGCCUGGAAGGAACAUGGUCGAGUACCUUCAUGAGGCCAAGGCAUCCAGACUCACCCGUAUGUCCUGACACGACAAGCAUCAAGCAUCCAGGCCUUCGUCAUCAUUGCUGGACAGGCUCUGGUACACGACACGCCGCUUCAGGCCAUCGAUGUCUGCUUAGAGGCGUUCUUUGUGAUGGACAUCAAAUACCCGAAGCAAUGGGAACAUGUGUGGGAAUUCCUGCAGGCUGCUGUUUAUAAAAUGCCAGGAGCGGGUUCCAAGUUAGUAAAGUUCCUCCAAAGUCGAUUACUUGCUUGCAAGUAGAGGCUCAAGGGCCGCUGGUUAGUAAACAUGUUAAACCGGUUAGUUGUUACUUGUUUUGUCAUGAUAAUAAACUGAGUGUCUCUUUGUGGACACAAGAGAUUUGAGGAUGUCAUCUUGUGGUUUUUCAACAUUUGACAUUUUAUACACAACAACUAAUUGAUUAAUCAUUUACAUAAUUGACAGAUUAAUCGAUAAUGGAAAUAAUCAUUAGUUGCAGCCCCAUUUUGUUGAUAGUGAUUAAAUCUUACAAUUCAUUUUA